UUUUUGUGAAGGAACUACCAAAUAAUUGUUGCAAAAUUGGACCAAAUCAUUUUUCUAAAAUACUAGGCCAUAUUUAAUGCACAAUUGACCAAAUGGUUGGGUGUAAAAAGUUUUGAUCCACCUCUGGUGAAAAAGACAAAUUUCCACCGAUUCAGCUAGAAGCGGGUCAAAUUUGAACUGUAGCUGCCUCGUAGUUUGCUCUUUAUUUUUUUCCAAAAAUCAUUUCUAGGUACAUAAGUAUCUUUUUAAUCAGAGAAACACCAACAAAAUUCCAAGAUUCAACCACUAGCUAGAAACGGUCAUUCCCGCCGUUUUGACCGCAUUUUGAAACGGGCAUAAAAAAUUCAAAAAAAAUCGAAAAAAUAGGAAACCUUCGCAUUGUGUCAUCAUAUGUGGCCAAGUUCCUAGGAAAAAUAACAAACUUGUAAUACGGCAAUUAUUUUUAAAAAGUGUUCUCAGAAACGAGCUAUCAUGUGUGGAGAUCAAUGGCUUUCAAGCCAAAUGAUCAAUCUUAUGGCCACAUCCAUGGCAUAGUUUGUUUAAAUGAUCUCAUAUUGUGCACAAGGGUGCAUAUUGGAAUGGCAAACAAUGUUGCCUAAGGAAGUUUUCAUUUUCGUUGGACGAAAAAACCAUUUUCCAUUUUUUGAGUGCCCGAAAGGAGGUUUUUUUGUGAAGGAACUACCAAAUAAUUGUUGCAAAAUUGGACCAAAUCAUUUUUCUAAAAUACUAGGCCAUAUUUAAUGCACAAUUGACCAAAUGGUUGGGUGAAAAAAGUUUUGAUCCACCUCUGGUGAAAAAGACAAAUUUCCGUCGAUUCAGUUGGAAGCGGGUCAAAUUUGAACUGUAGCUGCCUCGUAGUUUGCUCUUUAUUUUUUCCAAAAAUCAUUUCUAGGUACAUAAGUAUCUUUUUAAUCAGAGAAACACCAACAAAAUUCCAAGAUUCAACCACUAGCUAGGAACGGUCAUUCCCGCCGUUUUGACCGCAUUUUGAAACGGGCAUAAAAAAUUCAAAAAAAACAAAAAAUUGGGAAACCUUCGCAUUGUGUCAUCAUAUGUGGCCAAGUUCCUAGGAAAAAUAAC
rnacentral:lncRNA from 1 species